UUCUUUUUUUUUUUUUGGGUAUGCUAAAUAAUGAUGUAGAUGUAUUUUGUUUGCAGUUUUAAUUCUACUUCUUUUCACUAAGCGUUUCUGAGCAUUCAAAUAUGAAAAAUGUAUGUCUAUGAUAUGGUAGAUUGUUCUGAACGUCUAAAACAGUGAUGACGUAGCGGAAGACUAAAUCAAAGAGCAACGUUUUUUAUUCUGCAAGGAGAAGCGUCUUCGUCUUCUACUAAAAAAGAUUAAAACAAGCCCGCACGCUAAAAGAAAGAUAAAACUCCGUACAGUAUUUAAGAAAGAAGUCUCUAAUAUGAUAAUAAUCCAAUUGAUUGAGUUUUACAUUAUAAGCUAGCUUAUUUAUAGAAGAAAAAUACUUUUAGAGAAAGUAAACCUAAUCCUACUAGUAAUAGUAAACCUAUUCCUAGUAGCAAUAGUAAACUUAGUCCUAAUAGUAAUGGUGAAUCUAAUCCUCGUAAGGAAAAGAAAAAAAUAAAGCAAAUUGAAGCCUAGUAAGUAAAAGGAAAUAAAAUCUUAAUUGUACAUAAGAAAAUAAAAUAAAAUAAAAUUAUGGAUUGACGAUCAAGUCUUUUUUUUUUGUACUUCCAUUAUUUGAGAACAUGUAAACUUUUAAUCAAAUGGUGCUGCUUCAAUAUAAUUUUUGACGUUUCUUUUUACUUUUUUUCACCGAAAAUAUUAAUAAAUUUCGCCGUACAUCGAGUGAGUACAAUUACAGUCACAGUAACUCAUUUUAGAUAGCUCAUACAUAAUGUAAAGCUGUAGAAUUGAAUUUGGUCAAUUGCUUACAGGCUCGGAUCGAUAAAAUCAAAAGAUUUGAAUAACAAUAGAUCAUUGACUGACUUAGCUUUAAUUGCUAUUGGUAAAUUAAAGUCAGAAGUCAGCCUAAGACUAGGAAUCAGGCUUCCCAUUCAAACAAGUGCCGUGUGAUUCAAGGCACAGAGUAGCUAUAUAACUAAACCUCGAUCACCAUGUUAACACAGCAAAUCUACAACAUUAAUAAGCAAUGGCUGCUGCUGGUAACUCUUUGAGGUCUGCUUUGGUGAUGCUCUUCAUAUUUGCAAUCAUAUUAUCUCCAAUGGCAACGUGUGAGGCAGCUCGAUUCACUCAAAGAGCUUCAGGACCCAUUUGCCCUGCCUGUGUGUGUUGCACACCUCCCCCGCCGGGCUCUUGUUGCAGCAAGUGUUGCGCUACUCCGGGGUCUCCAAGUUAGUCUGAGAAGGGGUCUCCGUAAGCCUUAUUGCAUGAAUAAAAGGAUCGAAUCUCCACACUUCCAUUGAGACAUCCUAAUCGACCUGUUUUAGUAUGUUAGAAUAUGGACUUCAAAUCUUGGAUCCACGUUAUCUCUAAGCAAAUGCAUAAUAUAUCUACUGUACGUCAUUUUUCUUCUUCACAUAUAUUAAUAAAGAUGGCUUAUUAUUAGAAUAUUAAUUAAA